CUGAGUCGUCGACACGAGUUGUUGCUGGUCCCUGAACAGGGGACACGUGCACGCUCUGUUUACACAUCCACUCACACCUGUGCACCCUCUGUAGUUCUAUGGUCUGGGGGGCCCUGCCUCCCUUCUGUGGUUCUGCAUCUUUACACACACACUGUAAUAAAGUCUUAUGGAAUGUACACCGCGUUUAACGCAAUACAAUA
rnacentral:misc_RNA from 1 species